rnacentral:lncRNA from 1 species
UGUGUCUUGCCUGCAAUUGCUGUCAAUAUAAGGGUUAAUAUUGACUGCCAAAAAGUUACUUUUCAGUAAAAUAUCAAAUAGUUAAAAUCAAAUCUCACUUUUUUCCUUCAGAUUGGGUUUCUUGAUAUUGGAUAAACUUAUGUCUUAGUUUCUUCAAACUUAUGGUGUCUAAUAAAUUGAAUCCCAUACUGUUUGGAAAAUACUA